GCAGGGGCCCUGCACUUUCCCCAACCGAGCGGCUCCCUUGGUAAAAUGCAGGUUUAGAAUUCUACACUAAAAUGCAGGUUAGGAAAAGUGCAAUGUGCAGCGAAAUUUUAUGUUUGACUGCCUUUAGUCAGUUAUUAUCCAUUUGCGUGUACUUUUUAUUUAUUGUCUACACUCUGUUGCGCGCUGAAUUAUGAGGGCCCAAAACCGCCACUUUUUCAAUACAAAAUUUUUUUCAAAAUAUCAAUACAUAAAACAGAAAAGAAUAUA